rnacentral:miRNA from 1 species
UGAGGCGAGUUGAAGACUAAAA